rnacentral:rRNA from 1 species
AUGAGGAACUUGUACACUCUCGCGGAGAAGAAGCAUGUCGUGGGCACCGAAGGCGUCAAGUUCAAGAAAGACCAUAUGUGUGGUGUCUGUGAAGCUAGGAAGAUGACUAGGGCUAAGCAUCCCUCGAAUACUAUCAUGACUACAUCUCAACCCUUCAAGCUGCUUCACAUGGACUUAUUCGGCCCUACUCACUAUUCUACUCUUACUACCACGGCUUGCCUCUAUGGUUUUGUUAUUGUUGAUGAUUACUCAAGAUAUACAUGGGUGCAUAUAAUUCUCUAUAAGACUGAAGUGCAGGAUGUCUUCAGAUGGUUCGCCAAUCAUGCCAUGACGAACUAUGGCGUCAAGAUCAAGCACAUCAGAAGUGACAAUGACACAGAAUUCAAGAACAUCGGCCUCGACACUUAA